GAUGAACGCUAGCGGCAAGCUUAAUACAUGCAAGUCGAGGGGCAGCAUGACUGUAGCAAUACAGUUGAUGGCGACCGGCAAACGGGUGCGGAACACGUACAGAACCUUCCUUCGAGCGGGGAAUAGCCCAGAGAAAUUUGGAUUAAUACCCCAUAGUAUUACGGAGUGGCAUCACUUUGUAAUUAAAGAUUUAUCACUUGAAGAUGGCUGUGCGGCUGAUUAGAUAGUUGGCAGGGUAACGGCCUACCAAGUCUACGAUCAGUAACUGGUGUGAGAGCACGACCAGUCACACGGGCACUGAGACACGGGCCCGACUCCUACGGGAGGCAGCAGUAAGGAAUAUUGGUCAAUGGACGAAAGUCUGAACCAGCUAUGCCGCGUGGAGGAUGAAGGCCCUCUGGGUUGUAAACUUCUUUUAUAUGGGACGAAAAAGGGCCUUUCUAGGUCAACUGACGGUACCAUGUGAAUAAGCACCGGCUAACUCCGUGCCAGCAGCCGCGGUAAAAC
rnacentral:rRNA from 1 species